GACGAACGCUGGCGGCGUGCUUAACACAUGCAAGUCGAACGAAGUGGCGAACGGGUGAGUAACGCGUAAUCAGCCUGCCCUUCAGAGGGGGACAACAGUUGGAAACGACUGCUAAUACCUCAUACUGAAGGAGGGGAUUGCGUCUGAUUAGCUAGUUGGAGGGGUAACGGCCCACCAAGGCGAUGAUCAGUAGCCGGGCGGAGGAGGGGAACGGCCAAAAUGGGACUGAGACACGGCCCAGAAUCCUACGGGAGGCAGCAGUGGGGAAUCUUCCGCAAUGGGCGAAAGGCUGAAGGAGCAACGCCGGGGGAGUGAUGACGGCCUUCGGGUUGUAAAGCUCUGUUAAUCGGGACGCGUUACCGGAAUAGAAAGCCACGGCUAACUACGUGCCAGCAGCCGCGGUAAUAC
rnacentral:rRNA from 1 species